rnacentral:rRNA from 1 species
AGAGCGAACGCUGGCGGCAGGCCUAAUACAUGCAAGUCGAGCGGGUGUAGCAAUACACCAGCGGCAGACGGGAGAGUAACACGUGGGAACGUGCCCUUCAGUUCGGAACAACCCAGGGAAACUUGGGCUAAUACCGGAUACGUCCGAAAGGAGAAAGAUUUAUCGCUGAAGGAUCGGCCCGCGUCUGAUUAGCUUGUUGGUGAGGUAACGGCUCACCAAGGCGACGAUCAGUAGCUGGUCUGAGAGGAUGAUCAGCCUCACUGGGACUGAGACACGGCCCAGACUCCUACGGGAGGCAGCAGUAGGGAAUAUUGGACAAUGGGCGCAAGCCUGAUCCAGCCAUGCCGCGUGGGUGAUGAAGGCCCUAGGGUUGUAAAGCCCUUUCGGCGGGGAAGAUAAUGACGGUACCGCAGAAGAAGCCCGGCUAACUUCGUGCCAGCAGCCGC